rnacentral:rRNA from 1 species
AUUGAACGCUGGCGGCAGGCUUAACACAUGCAAGUCGAGCGGGGUGAUGUAGCUUGCUACAUUACCUAGCGGCGGACGGGUGAGUAAUGCUUAGGAAUCUGCCUAUUAGUGGGGGACAACAUUCCGAAAGGAAUGCUAAUACCGCAUACGCCCUACGGGGGAAAGCAGGGGAUCUUCGGACCUUGCGCUAAUAGAUGAGCCUAGGUCAGAUUAGCUAGUUGGUGGGGUAAAGGCCUACCAAGGCGACGAUCUGUAGCGGGUCUGAGAGGAUGAUCCGCCACACCGGGACUGAGACACGGCCCAGACUCCUACGGGAGGCAGCAGUGGGGAAUAUUGGACAAUGGGCGGAAGCCUGAUCCAGCCAUGCCGCGUGUGUGAAGAAGGCCUUUUGGUUGUAAAGCACUUUAAGCGAGGAGGAGGCUACUUGGAUUAAUACUCUAGGAUAGUGGACGUUACUCGCAGAAUAAGCACCGGCUAACUCUGUGCCAGCCGCCGCAGUAA